GUCACUUUGCCGGAGUGGUUAACGGGAUCGCCUGCUAUUCUAGCAUCGUAGCGGUUGGGCUUUGCCCGCGUGUGUUCGAAUCGCACAGGUGACG